rnacentral:misc_RNA from 1 species
UUUCCGUAGGUGAACCUGCGGAAGGAUCAUUAUUGUAUAACCGAGGUGCGAGGGCUGUCGCUGACCCGAAAGGUCGUGCACGCCCGAGUGCCCUCACACACAUCCAUCUCACCCCUAUGUGCACCACCGCGUGGGUCCCCCUUUGGCUUGUUCGGAGGGGGGCUUACGUUUUCACAAACUUUGUAUGUAGUGUAGAAUGUAUUUUUUGUUUUUGCGAUCACGCAAUCAAUACAACUUUCAACAACGGAUCUCUUGGCUCUC